rnacentral:rRNA from 1 species
GGGGGAAUAUUGCACAAUGGGGGAAACCCUGAUGCAGCAACGCCGCGUGAGUGAUGACGGUCUUCGGAUUGUAAAGCUCUGUCUUUAGGGACGAUAAUGACGGUACCUAAGGAGGAAGCCACGGCUAACUACGUGCCAGCAGCCGCGGUAAUACGUAGGUGGCAAGCGUUGUCCGGAUUACUGGGCGUAAAGCGCGCGCAGGCGGCUUUCUAAGUCCAUCUUAAAAGUGCGGGGCUUAACCCCGUGAUGGGAUGGAAACUGGAAAGCUGGAGUAUCGGAGAGGAAAGUGGAAUUCCUAGUGUAGCGGUGAAAUGCGUAGAGAUUAGGAAGAACACCGGUGGCGAAGGCGACUUUCUGGACGACAACUGACGCUGAGGCGCGAAAGCGUGGGGAGCAAACAGGAUUAGAUACCCUGGUAGU